UACGUAGGUGGCAAGCGUUGUCCGGAUUUACUGGGCGUAAAGAGCGCGCAGGCGGUCGUGCAAGUCGCGUGUGAAAGCCCCCGGCUCAACUGGGGAGGGUCACGCGAUACUGUUCGACUCGAAGGCAGGAGAGGGAAGCGGAAUUCCCGGUGUAGUGGUGGAAUGCGUAGAUAUCGGGAGGAACACCAGUGGCGAAGGCGGCUACCUGGCCCAUUCUUGACGCCGAGGCGCGAAAGCUAGGGGAGCGAACGGG
rnacentral:rRNA from 1 species